UCGGUGUACAGCGAAGUUAUUAAUGCCAGGCUUCCAGGAAAAGCUGCUAGCCAUAACUUAUAGAGAACCGUACCGCAAACCGACACAGGUGGACAGGUAGAGAAUACCAAGGCGCUUGAGAGAACUCGGGUGAAGGAACUAGGCAAAAUGGUACCGUAACUUCGGGAGAAGGUACGCCCUUGUUUGUUAUUAGACUUGCUCUAAGAAGCGAACGAGGGCCGCAGAGACCAGGUGGCUGCGACUGUUUAUUAAAAACACAGCACUCUGCAAAUUCGUAAGAAGACGUAUAGGGUGUGACGCCUGCCCGGUGCCGGAAGGUUAAUUGAUGGGGUCAUCUUCGGAGAAGCUCUUGAUCGAAGCCCCGGUAAACGGCGGCCGUAACAAUAACGGUCCUAAGGUAGCGAAAUUCCUUGUCGGGUAAGUUCCGACCUGCACGAAUGGCGUAACGAUGGCCACACUGUCUCCACCCGAGACUCAGUGAAAUUGAAAUCGCUGUGAAGAUGCAGUGUACCCGCGGCUAGACGGAAAGACCCCGUGAACCUUUACUAUAGUUUUGCACUGGACUUUGAUGAUAACUGUGUAGGAUAGGUGGGAGGCUAUGAAGUAGGCACGCUAGUGCUUAUGGAGCCACCCUUGAAAUACCACCCUGUUGUUAUUGAGGUUCUAACUUGGUCCCGUAAUCCGGGAUAAGGACAGUGUAUGAUGGGUAGUUUGACUGGGACGGUCUCCUCCCAAAGAGUAACGGAGGAGCACAAAGGUACCCUCGGUACGGUCGGACAUCGUACCAAGAGUGUAAAGGCAUAAGGGUGCUUGACUGCGAGAGCGACGGCUCGAGCAGGUACGAAAGUAGGUCUUAGUGAUCCGGUGGUUCUGAAUGGAAGGGCCAUCGCUCAACGGAUAAAAGGUACUCCGGGGAUAACAGGCUGAUACCGCCCAAGAGUUCAUAUCGACGGCGGUGUUUGGCACCUCGAUGUCGGCUCAUCACAUCCUGGGGCUGAAGCAGGUCCCAAGGGUAUGGCUGUUCGCCAUUUAAAGUGGUACGCGAGCUGGGUUUAGAACGUCGUGAGACAGUUCGGUCCCUAUCUGCCGUGGGCGUAGGAAAAUUGAGAGGAGCUGCUCCUAGUACGAGAGGACCGGAGUGGACGAACCUCUGGUGUACCGGUUGUCACGCCAGUGGCAUAGCCGGGUAGCUAAGUUCGGAAGGGAUAACCGCUGAAAGCAUCUAAGCGGGAAGCCUCCCUCAAGAUGAGUUUUCCCAUGAAGCCCGUUGAAGACUACGACGUUGAUAGGCAAGGUGUGGAAGCGCAGUAAUGUGUGAAGCUAACUUGUACUAAUUGGCUGAUUGUCUUGACCAA
rnacentral:rRNA from 1 species